ACGUAAUCACCUGGCAUGACCACAGUUUAAAGGGCGCCUGGAGAACACGUCAUCUGCUUCUUCUGAAUCUGAAGCUUACGUCUGAAGCAUGGCAAGGGAACUAUAGGACGCAGUGUCUCGUUGCCUUCUCAGGGAAACAUGAUUACAUACAUAACCUGAGACGUUCCCUUCCGAGGGAACUUCGAACUGCGUCCUCUAGAGGUUGCUAUGAGGAACUGUAUACCCUAAAAGAACUUACCUGUUAAGGGCUGGGCUAUGAAGCCUAAGCCUAGGGCAGAGCUCAAGACUUGGAAUCAGAAGAAAGAGACUCCUUUCAGGGGAUACGGCCAGGUAUCUAAAAACAAAACCAGACUUUGGCCUGCAACCCAGGGGGGCUACCGCCGGUUCCGAAUAAACCUACUCAAAGAACUGACUCGACAGAUCAUUGGUAGCAACACUCUGCUCAAAAAGGUAUCAACAGACAUACAUAAGUUGAGUGGAGCCCAAGGCAAGAACCGGGGCCUAAACCAGCUCAGAAAAAGGGAACGAGGCUGACAGCAUGUAACCCAUACCAUACCUGAUUUUAGAAAGUGCCCAGAAUACUUAGUGUGCACACUUACCACAAUGUGGAUUUUAGAACGUGCACAGAGCUCAGUAUGUCCACUUAUUAUAGCACGGAUUUAGAAACACCGUUGCUUAAGGAGUAACCAAAGCUGUAUAAACCAGCCUAGGAGCCCUACGUGACUGUGGCACGCUCAUAGAACAGAAUCCCAUGCAUCUGAUCACAGAUGCCCAGAAGGGAGCGGUGCCCUUGCAAGAGGCCCUUCACGGUGAGGGGAGGACAGCUAGCUCACUUAACAAGCAACCUGCCAGGGAGGCAAGAGAUAGCCCAGCCGCCUGGCAUGAUUGCUAUCCGGAGCUCAAAAAAGCGGAGACCUAACUUCAAAAAUAGAAGAGGAACUCUAACGCUCAGAUCGAGAGGGGCGUGCUCAUAUGAAACCCCUAAGGAAACUGCUAAACUCGACCACAAGGAGAGUGACUCAAAAGGGAGGUGGAGAGAGGCCUAACAACCUGAGGCUGCUACUCAAUGGAGCUCAAACGAGCAGAGGACUCGAUGAGAGAAGUCCACAGACGCUCAAUUGGGAGUGGCAGACUCAAAAACAACCCUCCGAGGUGAGGGGAGCACUGCCUGUCUUGACCCAAAUAGAGCCAGGUUACCAGGGAAGGAGCAAGCGGCCCAACUACCUGAUGUCACUGCCACAGAGCUCAAGAGCGGAGGGUUCAACCCAUAGCAAGGAGAGAGAGGAACCCAGCUUGACCGAAGCGAUCAACAGCCCAGGGUCAGAGGACCUAACUCUCAAGUCGAGGACGCAGUUCGAAGUUCCCUCGGAAGGGAACUUAACAUGCUUGAUUUUGUUAAGCAACUAAUUUAAGGCACUCAUGAGGUAUAACAUUAAAAAGCCCAUUUUAUAUUUGACAUAUUUGAGUGUCUAAAAUUCUUGCUUCCUGGACUGUGGAGGAAAUCCAAACACAAUUGAAGCAACUUUCCAGCCACCAUUAUUUUUUGAUUGCAUAUUUGUUCACUUUACUCUUGUUUUCUCAUAAAUAUAACUUUGACAGGAUUGUUUGUCAUCCAGAGAUGAAGAUCAUUCAUAUCCACCCUGUUUGGCCUUGGUGUCUGUCUUGGUCUCUGUCUUAUUCUGCCAAAAACAUGCUGGAUAACCCAUUAAUGUCCACAGUGAGUCUUUCCUGGUCAUUUUGUGUUCCGGCCAAAGCUGACGGGACGUUCAAACAAGUUAGACUGCUGAGGGCCUAUUUGGGAAGGACUCUCUCCUCUGUGCAACUAUUGCCUUCCCAACUGAUAAGCUCCUAUGAUGUUUAUUUGUAUAAUUCUGCUUUAUGUUGAACAUUCUGGUAUAUGGUUCUAUGUGGGAACUAUUUAUGCGGAGAUCCCGAGAUGGAGCACUAGCUCUUUUUACGUGCAAACCGAUACCUGGUAGAAAGAACUCUGAGAUCUGGUCAUCAGUACGCUUGCUAAGAAUGUCACUAGAUGGAGCCAGAGAUCUUUCUUUUCUGCCGCUUUUGGGAUUCCACAUAAGAGGAUUGUAGAUGACCUGCCAGUCCAGUGGGCAGCAGUUAGACUUGUGGAGUAAUGGAUCAAUACAGCCAGUAUGGAACUGGGUCAGGUUCAGGAAAGAAGAAAAUGGAUGAUAAAAAAGAUAUUAAAGAUAUUAAUUAUCAGUAUUUAACACACCUUGAAUUAGCUGGACUUGAGAUGUUACCUUGUGCUUGCAGGGAAGGGUUCUGACAUGCUGACAUCCAUUUUCUGUGUGUCCUCAGUAGGGUUGGGAACUGAGAACCGGUUCUUAUUCAGAACUGGUUCUGUUUUUUGAAAAGAGCUGGAACUGUGAGCAAUUUCUAAGUUUUGGUUCUGAAAAAGGUUCUGGUGCAUCACGUGACCAGGCGCUGUGAGUAGCCUUGCACUGGUGUUCUGACGAUUCAGCAUUUCCCUUACAGGAUGUCACAAACCAAAUAACAGAAACGCCGCCCUGCCUCUUUAAUAACUGAGCACAUUUUCUAAUAACCUGCACUCCACAGAUGCGCAUGCCCCAUCGUGUCUUUAACUGCCGGAUACAUGUUUCCCACGACUGUACACGCACUCGCGCCUUUGAUAACUGUGCAAGUCGUUUUGUCUGACUGUAGCACCUGCCUCCACUAAAUUAAAU
rnacentral:lncRNA from 1 species